CUCUGAUGAUGAUCUCAGUUUUGUGCCACGUGUCUGGGCCACUGAUUAAACCCUGAUGGAACUGAGGAACUGAGGAG